rnacentral:lncRNA from 1 species
GAAAAUUCAAUCAUUUCAGUCUGAAACCUUUUUUUUUUUUUUUUUCCAUUCAGUUUUCAUAUAUAGCAUUUUCUUCAUUGUAUAAUUUAUAUUUCAGGUUCAAUGUGAUCAUUUUGAAGACUUCUUUUUUGCAUUUGAGCUGGAUAAAUAUGUCUAUGAAGCCUUGUUCAAAAGGAAAACAGCAGAGGUUGGUUAAAUCAUCUAUUGAGUUGGCCUAAAAUCUUUCUGUCAUUUAUGAUGCUAUUAUUUUGUGCAGGUUUUCAGUGGAAAUAUCAACUGCUCAUAAGAAAACUUCCCUAAACCGAUUGGUCAAGUUGGAUUUUCUGUGAUUUGCGAUUAUUUGUAUUUUCUUAUUUUCUUGACUUAGUUAAUUUUUUUCAUUUUGAUCAAAUUUUCUUUCUUUUGUAUUUUCGUAUGUUAUCUAUGUGCUUUUAGAUCGGUGUAGUAAUCCUAAUAUCUUUAAUCAGCACAAACAAGUAUGUAUUGUUUGAUUUUUGUUUCAAGGGAAGUUCAUUAUGUUAUUUUUAUGUAAUUUUGAGCUGGAGCACGGAGAUCCCAAAAACACAUAGUUUCUCCUCCAAAAAUGACUUUUCCGGUUGGGGAACACAUUAGAUAUUCACCUAAACACUUAAAGAAGAUAAAAAAAAUGUCCAGAUUUUUCUCAGAUUCCGUUUUCCAAACAUUGAAGGUUUCUUUCUCAAUUUGGGACAACAGUGGGGACUCAGGUGCUCUUAUUCUUGCUUCCCUUAUGCUUCAGACUUAUCCAAUGAAGCCAAACAGGUCAAGAAAAAAAAACCACCACUUCUUCAUAUCUUGUCCUAAGGAUCAGAACAAAUUGGCAUAGUACUACUAAGAAUAUAGUCGAGAUGUACUUAGAUACUUCCAAGGUUGGCCUUGAUUGGAAGUCUAAACUGAUUAGGAAGGCUGUAGAGUGCAUACAUAUCUCAAUUGCUAUGAGAAUAUUAUAAAUCCUAUUGAGAAGAUCAAUUUUAUUGAGAAGGAAAAUAAAUAUUUGAAUCUAAUUAGUCCCUACAAAUCACGUCGGUCUUUCUACUAUACUAUCCCAACACUUACCCACCUCAAUCUCCCAUCAAGUACUUCAUAAAAUAGUCCCACUAUUUAGUUUUGAUUAAUUACAUUUGUGUUUAAUCUUUGGGAUGAACUUACUGGGUUGGUAGUUGCUACUAUGAUGGGAUUCUUAUGUGAAAAGAUUUUUAUAUGAGUUAUAAAGAUUAAAGAUCUAAAUUAGCUUGAGCUAAUCGUUCUGUUAGGACGUUCA